CGUCUUGCUCGUUUAGGUUUUCUUUGCAACUGUGUACUGCCGGCAGAAUUGAAUGAAACUAAGGUUCGCCAAAUUAGAUCACAAACUAAUGUGAAAGCGGGAGAUAAGAAGAAACUAAGAAGCCGUUCAAGUAGGUUAUUAUCUACUUCCAAUGCGGUAUCUUCUCCUUCAUUGACGCCUUGUUAAUCAGGUUCUGAUAACAGAAGUAGUAGACAAAUAUUUCGCCCUCCUCAGACAUUAGUUCAUGAUACUUCUACCUCAUCGUUGAGCUUGAAGAUUUAAUGGGACCCAGUUUUUCAAGUUUCUUUAGCGUUAAUAGAAUUUUUUUUUUUUAAUAUCAAAUAUAGAUG
rnacentral:misc_RNA from 1 species